rnacentral:rRNA from 1 species
AGAGCGAACGCUGGCGGCAGGCUUAACACAUGCAAGUCGAGCGCCCGCAAGGGAGCGGCAGACGGGUGAGUAACGCGUGGGAACGUACCUUUGGUUCGGAGCAACACAGGGAAACUUGUGCUAAUACCGGAUAAGCCCUUACGGGAAGAUUUAUCGCCGAAAGAUCGGCCCGCGUCUGAUUAGCUAGUUGGUGAGGUAACGGCUCACCAAGGCGACGAUCAGUAGCUGGUCUGAGAGGAUGAUCAGCCACAUUGGGACUGAGACACGGCCCAAACUCCUACGGGAGGCAGCAGUGGGGAAUAUUGGACAAUGGGCGCAAGCCUGAUCCAGCCAUGCCGCGUGAGUGAUGAAGGCCCUAGGGUUGUAAAGCUCUUUUAACGGGGAAGAUAAUGACGGUACCCGUAGAAUAAGCCCCGGCUAACUUCGUGCCAGCAGCCGC